UAGAUUGUGAACCUUAUGCUUUGCUUGAGGAUUGGCUUAGUGAAAAGGCAGAUGAGUACUUGGACAACACUGUCGACAAGGUCAAUGUGAAAAAAGGUGGAGUGCGGUACAAACCUGAUCUACAUUUGAAUUCAAUCGAUCGCGACUAAAACAGUUUCAGAUCUUCUUCACAUAAAUUUGAUUUCUAAAUCGAUCGUUUGUCUCAAGCAACUCAGAGAAUUGGUGCUGCCACUGCAGCUGAAGUUAGAGCAACUGGUAUUCCAUAUGCUUUUGCCCCUUGUAUUGUUGUUUGCAGAGAUCCAAGAUGGGGUUGAUGUUACGAGAGUUACAGUGAGGAUUCCAAACUUGUUCAAAAUAUGACCGACGUUAUUCUAUGGUUGCAAGGUGAAAUUCCUAAAGGAUCACGUCUCGGUGUCCCAUACGUUGCUGGAAAGGACAAGGUAGCUGCAUGUGCAAAGCACUUUGUGGCAGACGGUGGGACGACUCUCGGCAUAGAUGAAAAUAACACCGUGGCCAAUCGGCAUGAAUUGCUAAGUAUCCAGGGUGUAUCAACAGUCAUGGUGUCGUAUUCCAGCUGUAACGGUUAAAGA